rnacentral:rRNA from 1 species
AUUGAACGCUGGCGGAAUGCUUUACACAUGCAAGUCGAACGGCAGCACGGACUUCGGUCUGGUGGCGAGUGGCGAACGGGUGAGUAAUACAUCGGAACGUGCCCAAUCGUGGGGGAUAACGUAGCGAAAGCUACGCUAAUACCGCAUACGAUCUAAGGAUGAAAGCGGGGGAUCGCAAGACCUCGCGCGAAUGGGGCGGCCGAUGGAAGAUUAGGUAGUUGGUAGGGUAAAGGCCUACCAAGCCGACGAUCUGUAGCUGGGCUGAGAGGAUGAUCAGCCACACUGGGACUGAGACACGGCCCAGACUCCUACGGGAGGCAGCAGUGGGGAAUUUUGGACAAUGGACGCAAGUCUGAUCCAGCCAUUCCGCGUGCAGGAUGAAGGCCCUCGGGUUGUAAACUGCUUUUGUACAGAACGAAAAGGCUCUGGUUAAUACCUGGGGCUCAUGACGGUACUGUAAGAAUAAGCACCGGCUAACUACGUGCCAGCCGCCGCGGUAAAAC